UACGGAGGGUGCAAGCGUUAUCCGGAUUCACUGGGUUUAAAGGGUGCGUAGGUGGGCAGGUAAGUCAGUGGUGAAAUCUCCGAGCUUAACUCGGAAACUGCCGUUGAUACUAUUUGUCUUGAAUAUUGUGGAGGUAAGCGGAAUAUGUCAUGUAGCAGUGAAAUGCUUAGAUAUGACAUAGAACACCAAUUGCGAAGGCAGCUUACUACACAACGAUUGACGCUGAGGCACGAAAGCGUGGGGAUCAAACAGG
rnacentral:rRNA from 1 species